GACGAACGCUGGCGGCGUGCCUAAUACAUGCAAGUAGAACGCUGAAGGAGGAGCUUGCUUCUCUGGAUGAGUUGCGAACGGGUGAGUAACGCGUAGGUAACCUGCCUGGUAGCGGGGGAUAACUAUUGGAAACGAUAGCUAAUACCGCAUAAGAGUAGAUGUUGCAUGACAUUUGCUUAAAAGGUGCAAUUGCAUCACUACCAGAUGGACCUGCGUUGUAUUAGCUAGUUGGUGGGGUAACGGCUCACCAAGGCGACGAUACAUAGCCGACCUGAGAGGGUGAUCGGCCACACUGGGACUGAGACACGGCCCAGACUCCUACGGGAGGCAGCAGUAGGGAAUCUUCGGCAAUGGACGGAAGUCUGACCGAGCAACGCCGCGUGGGUGAAGAAGGUUUUCGGAUCGUAAAGCUCUGUUGUAAGAGAAGAACGAGUGUGAGAGUGGAAAGUUCACACUGUGACGGUAUCUUACCAGAAAGGGACGGCUAACUACGUG
rnacentral:rRNA from 1 species